UACGUAGGGCGCAAGCGUUAUCCGGAAUUAUUGGGCGUAAAGAGCUCGUAGGCGGUUUGUCGCGUCUGCCGUGAAAGUCCGGGGCUCAACUCCGGAUCUGCGGUGGGUACGGGCAGACUAGAGUGAUGUAGGGGAGACUGGAAUUCCUGGUGUAGCGGUGAAAUGCGCAGAUAUCAGGAGGAACACCGGUGGCGAAGGCGGGUCUCUGGGCAGUAACUGACGCUGAGGAGCGAAAGCGUGGGUAGCGAACAGG
rnacentral:rRNA from 1 species